CACGGAGGGCGCAAGCGUUGCUCGGAAUCACUGGGCGUAAAGCGGGUGUAGGCGGUCUAGCAAGUCAGAUGUGAAAGCCCACGGCUCAACCGUGGAAGUGCAUCUGAAACUGCUAGACUUGAGUGCCGGAGAGGGAAGUGGAAUUCCUGGUGUAGGGGGUGAAAUCCGUAGAUAUCAGGAGGAACACCGGUGGCGAAGGCGACUUCCUGGACGGCCACUGACGCUGAGACCCGAAAGCGUGGGGAGCAAACAGGAUUAGAAACCCUAGUAGUCC
rnacentral:rRNA from 1 species